rnacentral:rRNA from 1 species
ACAAAAACAUCUUUUCUCGUUAGUUUUUGAAGUAUGGCCUGCCCACUGACUAUUAGUUGAAGGGCCGCGGUAUUUUGACCGUGCAAAGGUAGCAUAAUCAUUAGUUCUUUAAUUGUGAUCUGGUAUGAAUGGCUUGACGAGACAUGUGCUGUCUUAAAGUAUUGAAUAUUUGAUUGAAUUUGGUCUUUGAGUUAAAAUUCUUAAAUGUUUUUAUGGGACGAGAAGACCCUAUAGAGUUUGACAUUUAGUUUGCUUUUUAUUGUUUUGUUUGUUUUGUUUAAUUAAGCGAUUUACGUGUUUUGUUGGGGUGAUGGGAGGAAUUUAUUUAACUCCUCUUUAUUUUGUAUAUUUAUGUAUAAUUUUUUGAUCCAUUUAUUUUGAUUAUAAGAUUAAAUUACCUUAGGGAUAACAGCGUUAUCUUCCUUGAGAGUUCUUAUUGGCGGGGAGGUUUGCGACCUCGAUGUUGGAUUAAGGUUAAUUUCGGUGUAGGAGCUGAAAGUGAUGGGUCUUC